UACGUAGGGCGCAAGCGUUUGUCCGGAAUUAUUGGGCGUAAAGAGCUCGUAGGCGGUUUGUCGCGUCUGCUGUGAAAACCUGAGGCUCAACCUCGGGCUUGCAGUGGGUACGGGCAGACUAGAGUGCGGUAGGGGUGACUGGAAUUCCUGGUGUAGCGGUGGAAUGCGCAGAUAUCAGGAGGAACACCGAUGGCGAAGGCAGGUCACUGGGCCGCAACUGACGCUGGAGGAGCGAAAGCAUGGGGAGCGAACAGG
rnacentral:rRNA from 1 species